rnacentral:rRNA from 1 species
GUGUCAGCAGCCGCGGUAAGACGAACCGUGCGAACGUUGUUCGGAAUCACUGGGCUUAAAGGGCGCGUAGGCGGCUCGCGAGGUCGGGGGUGAAAUCCCGCGGCUCAACCGCGGAAGGGCCUCCGAUACCGGCGGGCUGGAGGGAGGUAGGGGUGCGCGGAACUUCUGGUGGAGCGGUGAAAUGCGUUGAUAUCAGAAGGAACGCCGGCGGCGAAAGCGGCGCACUGGACCUCUACUGACGCUGAGGCGCGAAAGCCAGGGGAGCAAACGGGAUUAGAUACCCCGGUAGUCC